CAGGCCUAACACAUGCAAGUCGAGCGAGAAAGGUCUUCGGACUGAGUACAGCGGCGGACGGGUGAGUAACGCGUAGGAAUCUACCUGGUAGUGGGGGACAACAUGGGGAAACUCAUGCUAAUACCGCAUACGCCCUAUGGGGGAAAGCGGGGGACCUUCGGGCCUCGCGCUAUCAGAUGAGCCUGCGUAGGAUUAGCUUGUUGGUGAGGUAAAGGCUCACCAAGGCGAUGAUCCUUAGCUGGUCUGAGAGGAUGAUCAGCCACACUGGGACUGAGACACGGCCCAGACUCCUACGGGAGGCAGCAGUGGGGAAUAUUGCGCAAUGGGCGAAAGCCUGACGCAGCCAUGCCGCGUGUGUGAAGAAGGCCUUAGGGUUGUAAAGCACUUUCAAUUGGGAAGAAAGGUUGCGUGUUAAUAGCACGUAGCUGUGACGUUACCUUUAGAAGAAGCAUCGGCUAACUCCGUGCCAGCAGCCGCGGUAAUACGGAGGGUGCGAGCGUUAAUCGGAAUUACUGGGCGUAAAGCGCGCGUAGGCGGUUUGUUAAGUCGGAUGUGAAAGCCCCGGGCUCAACCUGGGAAUUGCAUUCGAUACUGGCCGACUAUAGACCGAGAGAGGGAGGUAGAAUUCCACGUGUAGCGGUGAAAUGCGUAGAUAUGUGGAGGAAUACCGGUGGCGAAGGCGGCCUCCUGGCUCGAUACUGACGCUGAGGUGCGAAAGCGUGGGUAGCAAACAGGAUUAGAUACCCUGGUAGUCCACGCCGUAAACGAUGUCUACUAGCCGUUGGGAGACUUGAUUUCUUAGUGGCGCAGCUAACGCACUAAGUAGACCGCCUGGGGAGUACGGCCGCAAGGUUAAAACUCAAAUGAAUUGACGGGGGCCCGCACAAGCGGUGGAGCAUGUGGUUUAAUUCGAUGCAACGCGAAGAACCUUACCAGGUCUUGACAUCCUGAGAACUUUCUAGAGAUAGAUUGGUGCCUUCGGGAACUCA
rnacentral:rRNA from 1 species